rnacentral:rRNA from 1 species
UACGUAGGUUGCUAGCGUUGUCCGGAAUCAUUGGGCGUAAAGCGCGUGUAGGCGGCCCGGUAAGUCCGCUGUGAAAGUCGGGGGCUCAACCCUCGGAUGCCGGUGGAUACUGUCGGGCUAGAGUACGGAAGAGGCGAGUGGAAUUCCUGGUGUAGCGGUGGAAUGCGCAGAUAUCAGGAGGAACACCAAUAGCGAAGGCAGCUCGCUGGGACGUUACUGACACUGCGGCGCGAAAGCGUGGGGAGCGAACAGG